rnacentral:rRNA from 1 species
UACAGAGGGUGCAAGCGUUGUUCGGAAUCAUUGGGCGUAAAGCGCGAGUAGGCGGUCUCUUAAGUCUGAUGUGAAAGCCCAGGGCUUAACCCUGGAAGUGCAUUGGAUACUGGGAGACUAGAGGGUGUAAGAGGAGAGUGGAAUUCAUGGUGUAGGGGUGAAAUCCGUAGAUAUCAUGAGGAACAUCAGUGGCGAAGGCGGCUCUCUGGUACAUUUCUGACGCUCAGACGCGAAAAGCAUGGGGAGCAAACAGG